ACAGCUUUCAAUUGUGCUGAAAGGGAAAAAGAAGUAGGGCAAUAGUUGGAAGUAAAAGUGGGGCCACAGAUUUUUCUUUGUUUAGGAUUAAAAAAAAAAAAGCAUAUUUAUAUGGUGAUAGAAGAAGUCCAGUAGAGAAAGAGAAAUUGCUGGAGGUAUGUGUCCCGGAUGGAAUCCAAUCACAGGUUGAGGGGCUGGCCUUUUGCUAGGAGCGGGAAUUGUCCACAACACACGUCUAUCACACAUGGGAGAGACAGAGUCUAUGGACAAAGGUACAGGCUCAUGGGGACUCCUGGAAGUUCCUUUCUGGUUACUCUUUUUCCAGCAGAGACUGAACUAUAUGACCUAAUUGGCUUUAUUUACGCUACAGCUGCCAUUACUUUUGUUAACCAAGAAUACUCACAAGUAGUUGGCUAAGUUGUGCUCUUGUAAUGUAUGUGUUUCAAAACCAUGAGGGGUUGUGUCAAAGUAGUCAUUGCCAAUCCCACAGAUGAAACAUUUAGUCUAAGAAAAAUAACAGGCAGAAAAGGCAUUUGUUGGCAUAAUAUAGGCAGGAGAGAAAACUGUCAUGAUUCUAUCGAAUUGAAGGAUAAUGAAAACUUUCUUUCUAAUGCUUUUGGCUAUUAGUCAUUCACUCAGUAGUGCCAUACAUUGGCUAUUAGUCAUUCACUCAGUAGUGCCAUACACUUAGCUCCUGAUUAGCUGAGGAUACUGCUCCCUCCUAUUGUGGGACAGUGGAGGAGGCAGCAGAGUGGCCGGCCUGGCAGGGGUAUGGCAGGGUGCAGAGAACAGGGCAUGGAAAACAAACUGCGUUCUUGCUUAGUACUGGCCCUAAGUAAUAGUAAAACCUAUUGUUUAAAAAAUCUAUUUGCUUCUGGGGAUAUUAAAAUAGAGCUGGGAUUAGUAGUUAGAGUAACAUUACCUCCAUAUCUUCUCGUACUUGUUCCUGCUGGUCUCUUAGCUCUCCGAAAGCAUCAAUAAUAAGACCUGGAAUGUUAAAUACAAAGACAAAGCAAUCUGUGUAGUGGUUCAGGGGUAGAGGAAUGAUAAAGGAAGAAGCUACUUUGUUCUGUUAAAAAAAAAAAGUGAAUUAUCAAAGCAAAAUUAGAAAAAUAAUACUCGUGUUUCUUUGUGUUACAUCCUGGCUAACAAUUUCUCAUUGUUCCUCCUAACUCUACCUUUCUACACCAUGCAGUGCUGUUAACUACUUGCUCCUCCCUGAAACUCUUUCCUUUCUACUUCUCCCUGGUUGGUCUCCUAUUUUGCUUAGCUAUUUGUGUUCAGUCUGUGUGAUAGGCUCUCCCUCUUCUCCUAGCACCUCUGACACUGAGGUGGAUCAGGGUUCCUCCUCAGUUACUUCACUUCUUAGCCCUCAACACCUGCAUGUCUUACAGGUUCCUCCACUCAGCAUGACUCAAGCUAAAUUUAUCAUCUUUCUCCAAUCUUGACAAGCUGUUGACUAAAAUAUCAUUCUUUCCCUCCCCUCCCCUGCACUGUCCAGCUCCUCUGCUCCUACCCUACCUCCCUCUCUGGGAAGAAAAUGAAGAGGACAAGACUAGCCACAGGAGAGAUCUCAGAAGCAGAAGUGAGGAGUAAAUAAUUCAGAGUAGAGGAACAGAAGGAAGGGGUUCCUCUGUAUGGAUGAAGCUUCUUAUAACUGUGCCUGGGUGUGUAUUUGGCUUUAUAUAUAGCCAAAGCCUCAGGUAUAGUAGAUGCUAAAUUAGUUCUUGCUAAAUUAACAAGUAAAUGAAUUCACACGCUUCUUCAUAAACCAAUUAAGUCAUAGAUGGAAGAAAGCAAAAAGAACUAGAUUAAACCCUGUUCAUACUCAACACAAUUGGCAAUCAUACCUUGAAUGAUGGCCAGCAAGAUGACAAUGACGAAGAAGAAAAAGGUAAUGUCAAAGACAAUGCGAUACAUUUCAUAAGGAUCACCAGCAGGGUCUUCAAUUUCAUCACCAAUGCCACCUCCUGCUCUCACUCCCACGUACAUGUGGAAAAGGUUUGAGCCAAUCUAGGCACGGGCUCCCUGAGCAGGGCACCCUCUGUCUCUCCACCUGAUGGGUUGAUUAGACUCACAGAGAAAGGACCGUCUUACACCUGGAAAAUCAAAAGCCAGGGGCAGCCUGAAGACACGCUGGUCAUGCCAGUACUCUAGGGGCUAGGAUUGCUGUCUCAUGACGGUGCUUGGCCCGAGAAAGCACAUGGAGAGUUUUUCGUCAAGAAGUGUUACCUCUUUUAUGGAGAUGCUCACAGACUGGGCAUUUCACUGUCCCCUGUCCCUGAGACACAGAUUCUUUUUCUGAAAUCUGGUCAAAAUAAACUGGCGAUGUUGCUGCAGCCAAGCUGGCUUACUCUGGGCAGUGCCUUUUUUCUCACGAAGAUCUGGCCUGACGGGACUCCCCCUCCCCACCUCCAACCUGAUCCUGCUGCUGGCUGUCCGCAAAGAACCUCCGACUGGCUUGCUGAAAUAAAUCAAGUGCUUAAUCCCGGUCCAUGGGA
rnacentral:lncRNA from 1 species